rnacentral:rRNA from 1 species
AGCGAACGCUGGCGGCAGGCCUAACACAUGCAAGUCGAACGGAUCCUUCGGGAUUAGUGGCGGACGGGUGAGUAACACGUGGGAACGUGCCCUUUGGUUCGGAACAACUCAGGGAAACUUGAGCUAAUACCGGAUGUGCCCUUCGGGGGAAAGAUUUAUCGCCAUUGGAGCGGCCCGCGUCUGAUUAGCUAGUUGGUGAGGUAAAGGCUCACCAAGGCGACGAUCAGUAGCUGGUCUGAGAGGAUGAUCAGCCACAUUGGGACUGAGACACGGCCCAAACUCCUACGGGAGGCAGCAGUGGGGAAUCUUGCGCAAUGGGCGAAAGCCUGACGCAGCCAUGCCGCGUGAAUGAUGAAGGUCUUAGGAUUGUAAAAUUCUUUCACCGGGGACGAUAAUGACAGUACCCGGAGAAGAAGCCCCGGCUAACUUCGUGCCAGCCGCCGCAGUAA